UAGCCAUGCAUGCUUAAUAGAAAUGGCGAACGGCUCAGUAAUGUUGCGAUGAUUUGCUCUUGAUGGUACAGAUAACCACGGCAAGCUGUGGCUAAGAGGCAAGAAUAAGACGCAACCCUAUCAGUUAGUUGGUAGUGUAAAGGACUACCAAGACGACGACGGGUGACGGGAAAUGAGGGUUUGAUUCCGGAGAGGGAGCCUGAGAGAUGGCUCCCACGUCCAAGGACGGCAGCAGGCGCGAAAAUUGCCCACUCUUGGUGAGGAGGCAGUUAUGAGACGUAGAUUAGAGGGCACAGUAAACAAGUGCUUUGAGUAUUGGAGGGCAAGUUUGGUGCCAGCAGCCGCGGUAAUACCGACUCCAAGAGUGUCUAUGGUGGAUGCUGCAGUUAAAAAGUCCGUAGUUGUAUAUGCAAUUGAAGGGCACCGGUCAAGGGUGCAGGGUUUGCUAAGGAUGGCGGAACGGGCAGAGUGCAUAGUAUAGGCGGGCGAGAGAUGAAAUACCAAGACCCCGCCUGGACUGACGGAGGCGAAAGCGAUGCACUUGAACGAGUCUGGGGAUCAAGGACGAAGGCUGGAGGAUCGAAAGUGAUUAGAUACCGCUGUAGUUCCAGCAGUAAACGAUGCCGACAAGCAGGACACGGGAGUGUUUGCUGGGAGAAAUCAUAGUUUUCGGGCUCUGGGGAUAGUACGCUCGCAAGGGUGAAACUUAAAUGAAAUU
rnacentral:rRNA from 1 species